AAUGAGCUACACCAGCCCAAUAAAGACAUCACACUAUCUCACCACCACGGAAGUAAAGGUGGGUAGAAAACAAAAAUGACCAAUGGAGCAUAAUUUAUAACGAACUCGUUUAUUAACAUAAAAACCUUUACUGUCCACUUACCUCGGUGAGAUCCAUGAAAAUCACAUAUGAAAGCAAUAACAUUAUCAUCAUCAUGAAAUCAUAUAGACUUUAUAACAUAACACUUAUCAUGCCUUUGCAUUUCAAUCAUUAAACAACAUAUUUUCUUCUUUUACCAGCCUACCAGUAUCCAUGGGGAUCCAUAGGGCUCCC
rnacentral:lncRNA from 1 species